UACGUAGGUGGCGAGCGUUGUCCGGAUUUAUUGGGUUUAAAGGGUGCGUAGGCUGUGAGGUAAGUCAGCGGUGAAAUGCCCCCGCUCAACGGGGUGAAGUGCCAUUGAUACUGCCUUGCUGGAAUGCGGAUGCCGUGGGAGGAAUGUGUGGUGUAGCGGUGAAAUGCAUAGAUAUCACACAGAACACCGAUUGCGAAGGCAUCUCACGAAUCCGCGAUUGACGCUGAUGCACGAAAGCGUGGGUAUCAAACAGG
rnacentral:rRNA from 1 species